rnacentral:rRNA from 1 species
UAAGGUGGCUAUGGCUACGGGGUUCCACCUCUUCCCAUUCCGAACAGAGAAGUUAAGCCCGUUUGCGCCGAUGGUACUGCGAUUGUGGGAGAGUAGGUAGCCGCCGUUU